rnacentral:tRNA from 3 species
GCAACUGAAGCUCCGGCUAGUGGGAACCCGGAAGACGUUCCGGCGGGUAGGUUCGACUCCUGCCAGUUGCA